rnacentral:rRNA from 1 species
GACGAACGCUGGCGGCGUGCUUAACACAUGCAAGUCGAGCGGUAAGGCCCUUUCGGGGGUACGACGAGCGGCGAACGGGUGAGUAACACGUGGGUGACCUGCCCUCAGCUCUGGGAUAAGCCUGGGAAACCGGGUCUAAUACUGGAUAUGACUCCAUGACGCAUGUUGUGGGGUGGAAGGCCUUGUGCGGCUGAGGAUGGGGCCCGCGGCCUAUCAGCUUGUUGGUGGGGUGANGGCCUACCAAGGCGACGACGGGUAGCCGGCCUGAGAGGGCGACCGGCCACACUGGGACUGAGGCACGGCCCAGACUCCUACGGGAGGCAGCAGUGGGGAAUCUUGCGCAAUGGGCGAAAGCCUGACGCAGCGACGCCGCGUGAGGGAUGAC